AUACUUACCUGGACGGGGUCAAUGGGUGAACAAUAAGACUCAUGGCCUGGGUUGACAAACUCCAUUGCACUUGGGAGGGGUGCCCGCCUAAGGUCUCCUCAUAGUGGGAGAGCCUACGUCAUAAUUUGUGGUAGUGGGGGCCUGCGUUCGCGCGGCCCUUA